GAACCUCACCCGGUCUAGUAGGGAGGGCUUCCUGGAGUAGGUGAGGAAGUAUGCUCCGGAGGACAGAGGAAACGGCAGGAGCAAGAAUUAGGAGAUGACAACUGGAAUAGCAAAAUCCCUGGGUUUUUGAACUCCACAGGGACAGCCACAUUCAUCCCGGCUGUGGACUGAACUGUGUCCCCUUCAGAUGUCACAUGUUGAAGCCCUUGCCCCCACUGUGACUGCAUUUGGAGACUGGGCCUAUCAGGAGUAAGAGAUCACGUGGAGACACAGCAAGAAGGCAGCUGUCUGCAGCCAGGAAGAGAGCCCUCAGCAGAACCUGCGCCUGCCAGCACCAUGAUCUUGGACUCCCAGUCUCCAGAACUAUGAGAAAGUAAGUGUCUGUUUUUGAAGCCACCCAGUCUAUGGCAGCCUGAGCAGACUGACAUCCUCACACCACCACCCAGAAGGAGCAGCUCUUUGUAUCCCCAGUUUACAGAUGGGGAAACCAAGGCCCAGAGAUAAUACAUGACUUGCCUGUGAUCCCACAGCUGUAAGUCAGAGUUAAGACUGGAGCCCAGGCCAUCUCCCUCCACCACCCACACCUGACAUCCGCUCACUGCGCUUCCUGCAUGGUGGACAGUGCCUGCCUGCUCACAACUGGGACCACUGCCUCCUCUGCUUCUCUGUAGCCCUGGCCCUAGCUCGUGGGAGGAGCAACAGGGCCAUAUUUGAGUUUCAGAGCACUGCUCAGGGGGGCAGAAG
rnacentral:lncRNA from 1 species